GCUCAGAGUGAACGCUGGCGGCAGGCCUAAUACAUGCAAGUCGAACGGCAGCACAGUGGAGCUUGCUCCAUGGGUGGCGAGUGGCGGACGGGUGAGGAAUACAUGGGAAUCUGCCCAGUCGUGGGGGAUAACGUAGGGAAACUUACGCUAAUACCGCAUGCGCCCUUCGGGGGAAAGCCGGGGACCUUCGGGCCUGGCGCGAUUGGAUGAGCCCAUGUCGGAUUAGCUAGUUGGCGGGGUAACGGCCCACCAAGGCGACGAUCCGUAGCUGGUCUGAGAGGAUGAUCAGCCACACUGGAACUGAGACACGGUCCAGACUCCUACGGGAGGCAGCAGUAGGGAAUAUUGGACAAUGGGCGCAAGCCUGAUCCAGCCAUGCCGCGUGAGUGAAGAAGGCCCUCGGGUUGUAAAGCUCUUUUGUCCGGAAAGAAAAGCAUCGGGUUAAUACCCCGGUGUUCUGACGGUACCGGAAGAAUAAGCACCGGCUAACUUCGUGCCAGCAGCCGCGGUAAUACGAAGGGUGCAAGCGUUACUCGGAAUUACUGGGCGUAAAGCGUGCGUAGGUGGUUCGUUAAGUCCGAUGUGAAAGCCCUGGGCUCAACCUGGGAAUGGCAUUGGAUACUGGCGGGCUAGAGUGCGGUAGAGGAUAGUGGAAUUCCUGGUGUAGCAGUGAAAUGCGUAGAGAUCAGGAGGAACAUCCGUGGCGAAGGCGACUGUCUGGACCAGCACUACACUAGCCAAGCGAC
rnacentral:rRNA from 1 species